AGCGUACACGGUGGAUGCCCUGGCAGUCAGAGGCGAUGAAGGACGUGCUAAUCUGCGAAAAGCGCCGGCGAGGUGAUAUGAACCUUUGACCCGGCGAUGUCCGAAUGGGGAAACCCAGUGCAAUCCGUUGCACUAUCGUUAACUGAAUACAUAGGUUAACGAGGCGAACCGGGGGAACUGAAACAUCUAAGUACCCCGAGGAAAAGAAAUCAACCGAGAUUCCCCCAGUAGCGGCGAGCGAACGGGGAGCAGCCCGGAGUCUGAAUCAGCUUGUGUGUUAGUGGAACGGUCUGGAAAGUCCGACGGUACAGGGUGAUAGUCCCGUACACGAAAGCACACUUGCUGUGAACUCGAAGAGUAGGGCGGGACACGUGGUAUCCUGUCUGAAUAUGGGGGGACCAUCCUCCAAGGCUAAAUACUCCUGACUGACCGAUAGUGAACCAGUACCGUGAGGGAAAGGCGAAAAGAACCCCGGCGAGGGGAGUGAAAAAGAACCUGAAACCGUGUACGUACAAGCAGUGGGAGCCUCUUUAUGGGGUGACUGCGUACCUUUUGUAUAAUGGGUCAGCGACUUAUAUUCUGUAGCAAGGUUAACCGUAUAGGGGAGCCGAAGGGAAACCGAGUCUUAACUGGGCGUUAAGUUGCAGGGUAUAGACCCGAAACCCGGUGAUCUAGCCAUGGGCAGGUUGAAGGUUGGGUAACACUAACUGGAGGACCGAACCGACUAAUGUUGAAAAAUUAGCGGAUGACCUGUGGCUGGGGGUGAAAGGCCAAUCAAACCGGGAGAUAGCUGGUUCUCCCCGAAAGCUAUUUAGGUAGCGCCUCGUGAACUCAUCUUCGGGGGUAGAGCACUGUUUCGGCUAGGGGGCCAUCCCGGCUUACCAACCCGAUGCAAACUACGAAUACCGAAGAAUGUUAUCACGGGAGACACACGGCGGGUGCUAACGUCCGUCGUGAAGAGGGAAACAACCCAGACCGCCAGCUAAGGUCCCAAAGUCAUGGUUAAGUGGGAAACGAUGUGGGAAGGCACAGACAGCCAGGAUGUUGGCUUAGAAGCAGCCAUCAUUUAAAGAAAGCGUAAUAGCUCACUGGUCGAGUCGGCCUGCGCGGAAGAUGUAACGGGGCUAAACCAUGCACCGAAGCUGCGGCAGCGACGCUUAUGCGUUGUUGGGUAGGGGAGCGUUCUGUAAGCCGUUGAAGGUGUCCUGUGAGGGGUGCUGGAGGUAUCAGAAGUGCGAAUGCUGACAUAAGUAACGAUAAAGCGGGUGAAAAGCCCGCUCGCCGGAAGACCAAGGGUUCCUGUCCAACGUUAAUCGGGGCAGGGUGAGUCGACCCCUAAGGCGAGGCCGAAAGGCGUAGUCGAUGGGAAACAGGUUAAUAUUCCUGUACUUGGUGUUACUGCGAAGGGGGGACGGAGAAGGCUAUGUCAGCCGGGCGACGGUUGUCCCGGUUUAAGCAUGUAGGCGGAGGUUCCAGGUAAAUCCGGUACCUUAUUAACGCUGAGGUGUGAUGACGAGGCACUACGGUGCUGAAGUGAUAAAUGCCCUGCUUCCAGGAAAAGCCUCUAAGCAUCAGGUAACACGAAAUCGUACCCCAAACCGACACAGGUGGUCAGGUAGAGAAUACCAAGGCGCUUGAGAGAACUCGGGUGAAGGAACUAGGCAAAAUGGUGCCGUAACUUCGGGAGAAGGCACGCUGAUAUGUAGGUGAAGUCCCUGCGGACGGAGCUGAAAUCAGUCGAAGAUACCAGCUGGCUGCAACUGUUUAUUAAAAACACAGCACUGUGCAAACACGAAAGUGGACGUAUACGGUGUGACGCCUGCCCGGUGCCGGAAGGUUAAUUGAUGGGGUUAGCGGCAACGCGAAGCUCUUGAUCGAAGCCCCGGUAAACGGCGGCCGUAACUAUAACGGUCCUAAGGUAGCGAAAUUCCUUGUCGGGUAAGUUCCGACCUGCACGAAUGGCGUAAUGAUGGCCAGGCUGUCUCCACCCGAGACUCAGUGAAAUUGAACUCGCUGUGAAGAUGCAGUGUACCCGCGGCAAGACGGAAAGACCCCGUGAACCUUUACUAUAGCUUGACACUGAACACUGGUCCUUGAUGUGUAGGAUAGGUGGGAGGCUUUGAAGCGUGGACGCCAGUCUGCGUGGAGCCAACCUUGAAAUACCACCCUUUAAUGGCUGGUGUUCUAACGUAGACCCGUAAUCCGGGUUGCGGACAGUGUCUGGUGGGUAGUUUGACUGGGGCGGUCUCCUCCCAAAGAGUAACGGAGGAGCACGAAGGUUGGCUAAUCCUGGUCGGACAUCAGGAGGUUAGUGCAAUGGCAUAAGCCAGCUUGACUGCGAGCGUGACGGCGCGAGCAGGUGCGAAAGCAGGUCAUAGUGAUCCGGUGGUUCUGAAUGGAAGGGCCAUCGCUCAACGGAUAAAAGGUACUCCGGGGAUAACAGGCUGAUACCGCCCAAGAGUUCAUAUCGACGGCGGUGUUUGGCACCUCGAUGUCGGCUCAUCACAUCCUGGGGCUGAAGUAGGUCCCAAGGGUAUGGCUGUUCGCCAUUUAAAGUGGUACGCGAGCUGGGUUUAGAACGUCGUGAGACAGUUCGGUCCCUAUCUGCCGUGGGCGCUGGAGAAUUGAGGGGGGCUGCUCCUAGUACGAGAGGACCGGAGUGGACGCAUCACUGGUGUUCGGGUUGUCAUGCCAAUGGCACUGCCCGGUAGCUAAAUGCGGAAGAGAUAAGUGCUGAAAGCAUCUAAGCACGAAACUUGCCCCGAGAUGAGUUCUCCCUGAGACUUUAAGUCUCCUGAAGGAACGUUGAAGACGACGACGUUGAUAGGUCGGGUGUGUAAGCGCAGCGAUGCGUUGAGCUAACCGAUACUAAUGAACCGUGAGGCUUAACC
rnacentral:rRNA from 1 species